CCCUUCACCUGUUGCAGGUUUUGCAUCAUUUCCUUGUCUCAUCUUAUUUGUCCUUCCCUGGGAUCAGCUGAGCUCUUGGGUGGAAACACAUUGGAUUCUCAGGCAGUUUCCUGAAGAGAUUUAUUCAUGUCAGAGUCAGGUUUGUGCCCUAUUUCUUCCUGUGACUCCUAUGGGCACCUCCAGGAGCAUUUUGGUGUUUCUUGGGGAGCAGGGAAUUCCCUGGGAGCAUCCCCAGACUAUUCUGAGGGAGCCACAUGUGUGUUCUGGGGGAAAAUUCAUGCCUGGCACUUGCCAAAGAUUCCUCCCAGGCAUGUGCAGCCAAUUCUUGGCCUCUUCUGGAGGCAGAGGAGUUCCCAGGUCCCUGUUGGUGUCUGCCCAAAACCCCCAGGCAGGUCCAUCUCUCCCCUUUUUUCUCACUGCAAACUGGGUGAUUGCUCCUCUCCUUUUUUGUUUUGUUUUGUUUUUUUUUUUUUUAACGUUGCUGCUUUCCUGUAUCCCAAGAAUCAGCUGUGUUGAGGAUCUCCCAUCUCCUUCCCUAGUGGGAGGUGUUCCUGCCCAUGGCAGGGAGUUGGAACCUGAUGGUUUUAUGGUCUCUUCCAACCCAAACCAUUCUGGGAUCCUGCCAUUCUAACCCUUGACAGAAACACUGUCCCAAAAAAUCAGUCUGAUCCCCAUUUUUUCCACCAAACAGCUAAAAAUCACGAGUUUGGAGAGCCUCCUUUUGCUCUGGGGUUUGCUUUGGAGCCAGCUGAAGUCCCAGGUGACCUGUGCAGAGUGUCCUAGAGCAGAGAGCUGGGCUAGGGCUGUGCCUGCACUGUCCCAGCACAUUUGGGGCUCCCCUGGAGACAGUGGAAUGUUGGUGGUAGAAGCCUCCCAUGAGAUCACACAGCCCCCAAAGUUCCCUGAGGAGUCCCACAGCCGCCCAGGGGUCACACAGCCAGGCUGUGGUGGGCAGUGCAGGCACCUGCAGCCUCAUCAUGGCAUGGGCACAAAGAGCCCUGAAAGCCCUGCCCCUGGCCAUCCUGGUAGUCCUGGUACCCCUGCUGGUCCCUGAGGACGAGCAUCCCCUUGAGGAGCCAGGACCAUCAGACCAAGCUCCUGCCAUGGAAAGUACAUGGAAAUAUUUCACGUCCACAGCCAUGGAUGGAGGCAGUGGAGAUCCAGAGGCUGAACCUGAGUCUUCUGGAUCCUACAUGACUUUUGAUUUGUUUUGGGAACUGCUAGCUCAAGGCCCAAAUGUGAGCGAGGCAUCUCCUGCAGGUCAGAAGAAUGAAACUGGAUUGGGAAACAGUUCCUGGCCAGUAAUGGAACAGCCUGAAUUCCAGACUUUGCUGAAGGAAUCACUUUCAGUGCUGGAGCCUGAGCCUGUGGACACGGAGGUACCUGAGGCAAUGCCAGUCCCUGAGGGAAACAGCGAAGCCCUUGAGCCAACAGGUGUGGAUGAGAGAUUCAGCAGGGCUGAGGACACCAGGGCAGACCCAAGCCCUGUGGAGGGCAUGGCAGACACAGGCACAGCUGAUGCUAAACUCACCUGGCUUGCCUUUGUGAGAGCCUUCUUCGUGAUCUCUAUGAUCUGCACCCUGGUUACUCUGCUGCUCUUCAAAAUGACCCCUGCAUGGGCAAAGCACAUAAAAAAGUGCCUCAUGUGUUCAAGACCAAGUUCUGAGCUCCCAGCAGACAAGGAAUUAGUAGUAGAAGUCUAAAUAAAGAUAAAGAGCACAGGGGUCUGUGGAAAAGUUUUGGAUUGGAAGGAAUUCUUGCUCUCUGCUCCAUUCUCUGGAGGCUCCACAUCCAGCUCCCCCCGUCACAAGCAAG
rnacentral:lncRNA from 12 species